rnacentral:rRNA from 1 species
UACGAAGGGGGCAAGCGUUGUUCGGAAUUACUGGGCGUAAAGCGCACGUAGGCGGCUUUGUAAGUUAGAGGUGAAAGCCCGGGGCUCAACUCCGGAACUGCCUUUAAGACUGCAUCGCUUGAAUCCAGGAGAGGUGAGUGGAAUUCCGAGUGUAGAGGUGAAAUUCGUAGAUAUUCGGAAGAACACCAGUGGCGAAGGCGGCUCACUGGACUGGUAUUGACGCUGAGGUGCGAAAGCGUGGGGAGCAAACAGG